rnacentral:lncRNA from 1 species
UACGGAUGUUAGCUUUCUGAGGAAUUUUACGGAAGUGGAUUCGCAUUCUCAUGGAGGAAGUUAUGAUGAUUUAAGUGAACCUAGUUCGGGAAGGCAGAUUCUGACGGAUUUUCGGAAUCUGACUUGUGAGGCCCAAGUCUGCUGUUCUUAGCACUUGAAUGGAAUAAGGCUGAACGUGUUUGACAUAUUUGGAGUAAUUUCUUGCAUUGACUUUAAUAACCCUGCGUUCCUUUGGAGAGAAGAAAGCUAUUCCAAGUUGGACUAGAAGACCGAAAAAGCCCAAGUCAAGUAGGAUUGAAAAGAGAGAUACAAGGCAGAAACCUAGGACGUUUUUGGAGACACAAGAGGAGGCAUGGGAGCAGAUUGAGACGCGACAAGAGCAAGAGGAGUCACCUCCAUCUUUAUUCCUCCUUCGCUAUGUUUUUCUUAGUUAUUUUUAUUGUUUCUUUUUGCUAAACUUCUAAGCUAGGGCUGAGAUGAAGCCCCUAGUAUGACUAUUCUA